rnacentral:rRNA from 1 species
UACGGAGGGGGCUAGCGUUGUUCGGAAUUACUGGGCGUAAAGCGCACGUAGGCGGCUUUGUAAGUUAGAGGUGAAAGCCCGGGGCUCAACUCCGGAAUUGCCUUUAAGACUGCAUCGCUUGAACGUCGGAGAGGUGAGUGGAAUUCCGAGUGUAAGAGGUAGAAAUUCGUAGAUAUUCGGAAGAACACCAGUGGCGAAGGCGGCCUC